UCUGGACAGAAAACAACACGAUCCUUAUGACUUCGAAUCAUGGGUAGAAGUCGUUUUUGUAAACAUUCCUUGAUGUAUAUUUAGCUGUUCAUUGAAGCAGUGGUGAUGAAGGGUUUCGAAAUCUUACCGCAGCUAUAAAUUGCUUGCCAGACCAUAGCUUUCUUACCAAAUUUUUCGACUUCAAUCGAUGUCUCGAAAUGGUUUAACACUUUCCCUCCUCGCACCGUAUAAUAUUUUGGUCCCGGCAAGGAUUUGUAAUCGAGUUUCACGUAGAUUUCGUCCCCUAUGAUUAUGCAGAAUUUCCAGCAAGAAUCGUAUAGUACAGCUUUCGAACCCUCGGCCUGAUCGAUGCUUCUUGUUUCGGACUACGUUUUGGUUGUUUCUGCUUCUUAUAGGUUCGAAGAUUCAAACGUUUGUUAGCACGAAGAACAUUUGACUUCGAAGUGCCCACUUUUUGGCCACAUCCCGAACUGAAACCUCCUACUUUUGAUCGAUCGCCUUCAGUAUACGUUUAUCCAACUGAGGGUUAGCAGGACCUUUUUUUCGACCCGUUUUCGGUUUAUCCUCAAAGGUGUUAUCCUUACCGAACUUCCUGAUUGCAUUUCGCACGGCUUUGUUACUUACUCCUUCCAUUUUUGCUAUAGUUUUCAGUGACGUUGUUCUGCUGAAAGUCCACGCAUUUCAAAACAAACUAAUGAAAACGAAUAAACAACUGCACAAGUGGUUAGAGAAGAGUGUAAACAACAGGACGCAGCCAUAAAAAUUGACAGAUUCUUAAUCAUUGCGAAAUAGCAGCGGUUCUGGGACAGUCUUUAUCACCAUCAUUGCAGAAGGACAGCACAAAGAAAACAAAAAUGAAAUUGGUUUUAAUAACAAGAUUAUUAUCCAAAAACUCAUGAGAAGUGUCAAAGCAAAACAAUCCAUUAAAAAACUAAAAAGGAAAGUUCUUGUUGAAACUGCUUGCCAAUUGCUUUGAUGUUUUUCGCAUGUGUUACGAUAUAUCCAUAUAUAAAUUUCUAAACCGAUAUGUAAAAAUGACGAAAACUCUUAGUGGAAAGUGUAUUUAUUCAGAAUUUGUGCGCAUUUGAAGCGAUUGUGCGUAAUAAUGUUUUUACACGGAAUAGUGAAGUGAGUUUCGAAUGUUGCACUAUAAUUGUAUAUGUCAAAUGAUGUUUUCAGUUUUCAGUGAAAGAGUCGCUUUCGUGAAGUUGAAUGAAGAAUACAGCGAUUUAGAAGAAAAAUUUUCAAGAGGAAGUUUACGUUUCGUUCAUGUCUUUUUCUCCAAUACAACAUCGUAUUUAUACCUGCCAAUAUAGGAAAGAUAACCGUGACUGAAUUAUUUUUCGGUAGUAGUGUGCCAUCUAGUGGCUAGUAGUCAUUACGGUGUUAAUGUUUUUUCAGUGGCAGUGCGCCAUAUAAAUGCAAAUUGCAGAAGCCAAUUCAACCAUUUAUGUUGGUUGAAAACAACGUUUUAUUUCUCUAACUCAACUAAAAAAUUAGUUGAAUGGAAACGAAGUGUGCCUUAGCUAGAAAUGACAGCACGUUGAAUUGGUGAAUUCAACUGAAAAAAUAGCCAUUUCAACAAAUAUUUUAUUAUUAUUAAUGGAAUGAGAAUUAAAAAAUCUAAAUUAGCCAAAGUAAGAUUUUUUUUAGUUGUCUCAAAAAAUAACUAACUAAAAUCAGAAAACCAACUAAUUUUUUCGCCAAGAUGCUGAUUUCGGUCUUUCCGUGUAAAUAUUUAAGUCAAUUAUAAAAUAAAUAAUUUUCCACAAAAGACUUUAUAGCCAAAAAUUUGUCUAAUAAUUAUAUAAUUAUUUUUAUUCUUAUGGAAAUCCAUCAACAUGUUCUGAAACACUUCCAAAAAUUUUUUUUGUACGCGCCUGGUACAAGGUGCUUAAGAGACAUAAAUGUUUACUAUCUUUUUUUCCGAAAAGGCUUAACCGAUAUUCAAAUGGACGGUUUUACGAUCCCUAAGCCUAUUAUUUAAUUUUAUCCAGAUUCGGUAGUUGCACUCAAUUUUCUCAGAGAAGGUUUAACCAAUUUUUACAAGCUUACAUUGAGUUACAAAUUUGAUCAGUAUCAAACGAGGAAAACAGGUUGAAAAAAGUAUGAGCGAAUCAAACCGCAGGGUAAUUUUUUAUUGGCAAAACAAUUUCCUCAGAUAGGAGGUUCGAGUCCUGUCUAUGCGGUAACUUUUUCGUGGUUUUCAUUAAAUAGUUGUAUUCGGAUGUCAUUUUUCCAAUCUGUUUUCCUCGUCAGGUACUGAUCAAAUUUAAAAUUAACUCUACGUCUUAACAAGGCUAAAACAAAUCAUUGAAAGUCAAUCUGAUUUGUCCUUCAAUAUAUUGUGUUCAAAAUUUCAAACCACCGUUUGACGGCAAAGCAAAGAAUGAAGAGAGACUUGCGAGACGACGGGUAAUGAACGGUGGCAGAGUGGUUUCCAUACAGAUAUGACUAUAAUUGAAUGCCGUGGCACCCGGACACAGCGAAGCAUGCUCGGUUCUGCUAGUCAAUUAGGCUGUUUCUUUAUGUGUGCACGGUAGAAUCCAAGGUUUUUUUUUUUUUCAGAAAUAGCUGGACCGAUUUUUACAAAGUUUUGUAAAUUACUAUUAAAUUUCAUACGAAUAUGAUUUCAGGCUCAGGAGUUAUAAGUGAAGGAGUAAGAACAUCUUAUGUCAAACGUGUAUUUUAAAACAUAACAAAUUGAUUGAAACUGAAAGAUGAUUUCUCAUAAUUUUCAAAACCGGUAAGUUGAUGACCCGGAAAACUUAUCUUACCAUACAAGUUCUAGGCCUUCGGUUACGGAAAAACCAGAAAUUGUGUUCAAAAAACAAAAUUUAUCGAUUUUAGUUUUUCAGAGGUUGCAAAAUCGAUCUUAGUUUCAAAAUAAAAGGCUCCAUUAUCAAAUAGAAUGCCAUUGAAAUUUGAGCUGUAUCCGAUUUCCAGUGACGAAAUUACAAAACGACAAGCAUUUGAAGUUUCGAACCGUCAUUCAAACUGAAGAUGCAAAGCACGUGAAAACUGGGCUCUUAACAUGUUUCUUCACUUUGCAUGCAAAUGUAAGAUUUGUAGGCCAAACACAAAAACUUGUACACAGAAUACAUAACCUUGCAUUCUUGAUGCUGAGAUAACUGAAAUUAUUGAGUGGAACAUCCACAUUUUGAACUUGUGAAAGUAUUGAGACAAACUCUUGAAGAGUGUUCGCAUCUUAACUUUACAAUCUCUAUAUCGGAAAAUGCUACACCAUGAUAUGUUUAUAAAUAAGCAAAAUAAACAACAAUCUGCAAUUUACUGUUGCAUGUGGCUGGAAACUUGAACCCGCCGUCGGUAAAUUGCUUUUUCAGUUCGACUGGGAAAUAAACGACUAUCGAAAAACUCAAUUUUCUCGCCUCGGCACUGAGUUAGUAUUGCCCCGAGAGACAGAUAGUGAGAAAGCGAGAAGGGGGUUUAACAAAAAAAAAAGAACAUCAUCAACCAGAACCAACACACCCGGGUGCCUCUCGCAUGUAAUAACUACUGUGCUAUCUCCAGCACCGCACGGCUCGAGCAUACAUCAUUACGCACAUUUCCCCGGCACAAUGGAGCCAUAAUUUGCCGCACAUUUGUAGGUCCUUUGAUUUAGAGUCGGCCGGUUGCAACUUCUCCAGUUCCCGAACGCACCACCCACUUUCAGUUUUGACACGCAGAAAAUGUUGUUCAGUGUUUGGUGGAUUUUGAAAUUGCGAUAUCGUAAUUGAAAAAAAAAACCAUUACAAGAACUACGAUUACAUUUACCAAGUUCAAGUGCACUUUUAUACCGUGCAUGAACUAAAUUUUCACUGAAAAUCCUAACUUCGGAUUGAUAUUGCUCACAUAUAUUAUUGCCUUUUCAUAAUUUGCUCUCUAGAAGAGUGUUGUGCUCAACAUAACAAUAUAAUUUCCAAUUCAUUCAACCGGAAACGUUCAAAGCGGCCUGUGCCUCCAGCUUAUGGGGAGAUGCCUACAGGAUGUUUAUGGUCAAAACGAGAGGGGCACCAGCAUCCCCUGAACGUAGUUCGGUAAAGCUGAGGUUCUCUUCCCUCACCACGACACGUUGCUAUAAUCUCAAAACCGCACGCUUCCGGACAUUUGGAAAAGGCAGAGAUUGGUACUGUUACCGAAAACUGGGAAACCUCCUGGGAACCCGUCGGCAUACAGACCAAUCUGCUUGAUCGACACGACAGGGAAGCUCCUGGAGAGAAUCAUCCGGAACAGGCUAGCCCCGUUCAUUGAGGAGGCGGGUGGACUGUCUAACGAACAAUACGGGUUUCGCAAAGGCAGGUCUACGGCAGAUGCCAUAAAAUCGGUGGUAACCACCUCGGAGGUCGCUAUUCAACCCAAGCGGCGUGGAAUUCGUUUCUAGGCGGUAGUAACGCUUGACGUCAAAAACGCCUUCAAUAGUGCUUGUUGGGCGGGUAUCGCUUCGAUUGGGAGUACCGGAAGGGCUGUACAAGAUUCUGGAAAGCUACUUUUAGAACCGGACGCAGCACUUCUAUCACGGUCGAAGGGCCACAGGAAUCCAUCCUGAGCCCGCUUCUGUGGAAUAUAAUGUACGAUAGCGUACUGAGGUUGUGGCUCCUCCGGGCGUCAAGAUAGUCGAGUUCGCGGACGAUAUCACGCUUGAAGUUUACGAAGAAUCCAUCGAAGAAGUCGAACUGAGCGCAUCACACUCGAUCAGCAUAAUGGAGGACUGGUUGUGUAGCAGGAUACUGCAACUAGCGCAUCAUAAAACUGAGAUGAUGGUGGUAAACAACGGAAAGCAAGAGCAAGAGAGCAUCGACACAUGUUGGUGAUUGCAUGAUCCCCUCCAAGAGAUCACUGAAACGAUUGGGUGUGAUACUUGACGACAAGCUCAGUUUCGGCUAGAACGUUGAAUAUGUUUGUAAACAUGCAGCGCUCUCGCGCAUGAUGGCCAACAGUUCGCCGGUACAUUCCAGCAAACGCAGGUUACUGUCAGGAAUGGCAGUUUCGGUUCUCAGGUACGGCAGCCGGUAUAGGCGACGGCACUCCAUGUGGAACACAACGCACAAAUGCUGAAGAGCAAGCACAGACUGAUGUGUCUUCGCGUGAUCAGUGCGUACCGUACGGAGGACGCGGCAUGCUACGGAGGACGCGGCACGUUACGACAUGCGGAGGGACAGGAACGCUCGUAGGACUGCCAACGCAGCCUCCCUACGCGAGUCUCAGAGAAAAUGGGACAGCUCACUUAAGGGCAGGUCUACACAUCGGCUCAUUCCAAGAGACUCCGGAUGGAUCGACAGACUCCAUGACGAAGUAAAUUUGUACCUGCUUUGCGACACAAAGGUAUGGCCUACUGGAUGUAUGUGGCAGAGAAACUACACCAGAGAACCUAGUCCAGAGGAUGUGCCACAGUGAGGAGAAUUGGAACGAAGUGUCGACCGCGACCUCCCAGAUCGCGGGGAGCUUGCAGCGGAAUUGAAGCGCAGAACAACAGGCAGUCGCGACCGCUGGUCACUAAAGAGGAAUCAGCGAAUAAGCUUCGGCUCGGGAGUUUUUCCGUUGUCGGUGAACUCUCCGUCGAUGUAGUCUUAAUCCUUCGCCGGGGAUUAGACAAGUAGAUUGCGACGCAGCCCCGGUAUGGAUCGUCGGGGCGCAAGUGAACCGGAAGCCAUCCUCCAGCCGGAAUCAUUGGAGAGACCCAGGCAUCCUGCCGAUCGAUCCGUUUGCGGGUAUCGGAAGCGACGGUCACGGGAGAAUUUCAAUCGUCGGAGAACUCUUCGCCGGUGUAGGCUAGAUCCUUCGUCGGGGACUAGCCGAAUAGAAGCCACAGCACCGAAGUCUAGUCGUCGGGGCGCCAGUGAACCGGAAGCUAUGCUCCAACCGCAAUCAUUGGAUCACUCGUUCAAGUGUCCAGAUGGCAUGACAUGAAUACUCGGUGUCGGGAGACCUUCAUUCGCCGGGGAUUAGCCGAGUAGAAACCACACUAUCGAAGUCGAGUCGUCGGGGCGCCAGUGAACCAGAUGCCAUGCUCCAACCAAAAUCACAGGAUCGACCUCGGCACUCAUUCGAGUGUCACGUGUGGCGAAGCACAAGAUUCAGUAUUGGGAGAAACUCUUUCGUCGGGGAGCUCUCCGUCGUCGUAGUCUAGAUCCUUUGGCGGGGAUUAGAUAAGAAGAUUGCGACGUAGCUACGGUAUGGAUCGUUGGGGCGCCAGUGAACCGGAAUCACUGGACCGACCCAGGUAUCCUGCCGUUCGAACCGUUUACGUAUAGUUGAUCCAUCGUCGGCUAGAUCUAUCGUCGGGGAUUAGCCGAGUAGUUUGUUUGCAAUGAUUCUGUACACUAAGAAUCGGUUGAAACAGAAUGGCCAAAUUCCACAAAAGAAAUGUAAUGCCAGGACUUUGCUUUUCUUCUACAUUACUUUCAGAAUUUACCCAGAAUUUUUCCUCCACUUCAUCGGAGAUAUGAUCAUCAGUUUGAGAUAGAAUUUCGGAAGUCAGGAUCUUGGUUCUAGGCUUGAACUCUGGAAAUAAAUGAAUCUCGAUAAUAAAUUCUUGACUUGGAACCAAAUUCCGGAACUGAAAUUGAGGUUCAGACCACAAUUAUGUUACAAAAUUCCUGUCCAUACUUAGAAUUCAGGUUCAGAAUUCGAAAACUGAGGAACUUCAGACCGAGAUCCAGAACUAGAAUUCAGAUCCAAAACUAAGUUGCAUAUCGCUGAUUAUAUUGAAGAAAAUUCUAGUUUCUGUGAAACGCUCGCACUUUGAACUUGACAUUCUUCAUUAAAUUCUGCACAGUUACUUUUGUGACUUUCCUGAUGGCAGCUGUUCAGGUUUUUUUUAACUCCUGCAUGUUUUGGGACACUGUACCUUCCUUCCGAAAGUGCCGCUUGACAAUUGCCCAAUACCUUUUAAUUGGCCGAAGAUCCGGGCAGUUCGGUGGGUUGAUGUCCUUUUCCACGAAUUGUACAUUAUUUUGUGACAACCACUGUAGAACGGAGUUGGCGUAGUGGGCUGAAGCCAAAUCCGGCCAGAAAGGGCCCCCUGUGCCCUUCGUGACGAAAAUUGACGACUGCAAACCACAGGUACAAAUUGCUUGCCAGACCAACACCUUCUGCCCAAACUUUUGCAUCGCCACCGUGGUGUCAGCGUCGUCCAGGUCCUGGUACACCGAUUUCGUAUAAUAUUGCAGUCCGGGCAGCGCUCGAGAGUCUUCCUUGCCGUAGGUUUCGUCGUCGAUCAGGAUGCAUCCGUCUUUAUUCUGUAGAAUCCGGUUAUACAGUUUUCGCGCUCUUGUUUUGGCCUGAACUUGCUGUACCAGGGACUUUUUCGGCCCCUUCUGCACAGAAAAAAAUUUUAAAUUUAAACGCCAUGUAUAUAAUUAAACUCGUAAAUAUACAUUUAUGUAAUCAACAAUUGAAUUGAAAUUUAAGCGCAAAAUAAUGUACAUAAUUAGAGCAUCAAAAUACGUGUGAAUUUAUAUUGUUUUUUGCUUAAUUGUACAGCACAUUUAAAUUUUCAAUUGCUAGUUUAAAAACAAUGUUGAGUUCUUGAAUUUCUCAUAAUCGGAACUGUAAUUUUCAACCGACAUGUAAAAUCAAAACAACAUUCAUUGAAAUUUCAUAAACAAAACAAAUGGCUGCCGCGAUAAAUUGCACGUCGACUUUUAUCCAUCUGUUUAUAAUUUGUAGUGUUCUGUGCGGAAAUAAUGUCAAUUGAAAUAAGUUGUAAGUUUUGUGUGACUGUUUUCAAAGAUUUAGAACAUUUUAUUUACCAUAUGCGAGUGCAUAAAUAUCAACGAUAUUUUGAAUGCCCGAUUUCGGAGUGUGCAGUACGUUGCCGAUCUUUCGAGUCUUUUAAAAAACAUCUUAGACAACGACAUGUUGAAAUAAAACUUCAACGUACUUUCCGUUGCUCCGUCUCGUCGUGUAAUUCCGUUGAAGACAGUGUAAAGUUGAUGGCCAAACAUAUGACGAAACAUCUGAAAUCCGGUCAACCCGUGUUUUGUCCGUUUGGUUGCAUAUGCAAAAAACCUUUCGUAACUGUAAACAGUAUGCGAAUUCACAACAUGUACUUCCACCGGAACGGAAACAUCCGAAUAGAUAGUGAUGAAAGUUUAUUGAAACAGACCUCCGUUCCACAGUUGGACUUUCUCCAGUUAAAUGAAUCUUGUUCGUUGAAUGCAUGUUCAGAGUCUCCAAAUCCACUAAACACCUUUUAUAAAACUAACGAGAACAUAUGUAACAUUUUCGGAAACCUAUUUCUCAAACUGUUAUCAAAAAAACAUGUGACAGAAUCCGCAAUACAGGAAGUAGUAGUGGCGUUGGGGGAAGCUGUUUCGGUUCAAACAAAUAGCUUCAAAAAUUUCUGCUUAUCGAUCGGUUACGGAAUCAACGAACAAAAAAAUAACAAUUCACAUCAUUUAGAACGAAAUUUCUGCAAUAUCUUCGAUAUCAUGUUCGGACCUAUGGGACUAUUUCGAUCACCUUACAUGCGAAAAAAGUUUUAUCGCGAGCAUUACAGUUUUGUCUCUUCAAUACCUAUUGCACUUCAAAAAGACAAUGAACAUAAAGACGCUUUCUUCUACUAUGUACCAAUAUUGGAAACACUGACCGCGAUGGUCAAUGAUCCAACAAUUUACAACGCUGUAUUUCGGAAAAAACUCAGUGUCCGGUUACCUGACAGAUUUCGACGACGGUACCAAGUUUAAAACCAGUUCAUUUUUCUCCGAUAAGACAUUAAAUCUUUUUUUAUAUCAAGAUGCUGCUGAGAUGGUUGUUAAUGCUAUUGGCAACGCCACUGGCCGAUAUAAAUUAUUAUGCGUUUACAUGAUAAUUGGAAACAUUGAUUCACAUUUACGAUGUAAAACCGAAAAUGUGCAACUAAUACUUCUUUGCAAAAAUAAGGAUUUUUCUUAUUUCGGUUCGAAUUGCAUAUUUCGACGACUCGUUGAAGAUAUUAAAAUACUGGAAGAAAACGGGAUUGUUGUACAUGGUGGUGGAUUUCCUGAAACUAUACGAGGUUCAAUAUUUACUACAAUGAAUGAUAACUUGGGAGCACAUCAAAUAGGAGGUCUUGUAGAGAAUUUUUCAACAAGCUCUCACUUCUGUAGAACUUGUUAUAUUGAUCACAAGUCGUUUAAAAUUGAUAGCUUGAAUAAGGCAGAAAUUAGGAAUCCUGAAACGCAUAAACAUGACAUUCAGAUGAUCACAAACAAUGCAAGUUGUAUACCUUUCCGAGGAAUAAAAUCAGAAUGUAUAUUUGAUGAAUUGCAACACUUCAAAAUGUUUGAUCUAGGAGCCGCUCCGUGUAUAGCUCACGACUUAUUUGAAGGAUGGAUUAACAAUGAUCUAUUUUUAAUACUGAAACGCAUCUGCAAAGAGAAACAUAUAUCUCCUUUGUACAUUCAAGGUAGAAUGAACGAAGUUUGUCAUAAAUUGAAACUGGACACGAAAAUUGCCAUUGACUUUACUAGAAAAUCCAGAAACAUAAAAGCAAAGGCUUGUGAUAUCUGGCACAUUGUUCAAAUUUUUCCAUUUUUGUUUAUAAAUAAAUCAAUUGAUUAUAACGACCCGAUAAUACAUAUGCUGUUGCUGAUUAAAAACAUCACAGACAUUAUCACUACACCAGUUGUAUCUCAAAAUCAAAUUCACCUGCUACGAUCACUAAUAACGGAAUACAUUGAACUUCGAACUCAUCACUUUGAUACUCCACUUAGACCUAAACAUCAUUUCACCACCCACUAUCCUUGGAUCAUAUCGAGACUUGGACCUCUUAUGUCCUUCUGCACUUUAUUUUGUGAAAGAAAACAUUGUUUUUUUAAGCGAGCUCUACGAAGCACUCUUAAUUUCAAAAACGUCGUGAAGUUCUGUGCGGAGCAACAUCAGUUUUACCAAGCUCUACUAACACAAGAAAAUGCUCGUUUUGAAAGGCAUUUUUUGGUAUCAAAGUUUGUAGAAACGUAUAAAGACCUCCCUGAGGUAAUGCAAUCGGAAUUACGGAAAUUUUGCCUCCUAGACCUAGAGUCACUCUAUGCCGAAAAAGCAUCAUAUUGUGGACACGAUUAUGAGAAAAAUGAUUUCAUAUUCCUCGAACAUGAUGAGUAUGGUGAAAAAUUCUAUGUGGUUCAAAUUCAGCUGUUGAUUUUCAACAAAUACACUGAACAAGUUUUUGUUUUUGGACUAAAACAUUCCGUUCUCCAAUCUCCCGACAAAGGAACUCUGGAAAUCAAUUUAAAUCCACUGCUAGUUGUUGCUAAAAAUAUUAAGGAUUUUGUCGACCGAACUCCUUUGAAAUCGUUUCUUGAAAAUAAAAGGCUUUAUUUAUUCAUUCAGCAUGCGAUUCCUUUGGUUUGAGCACCUGAUAUUAAAAACUUCAAAAAAAAAUACAGAAUGGCGACCAAUAUUAAAAUUUACAAAAUAUGCGACGCGUCUCGGUUCAACAGAAUGGCCCUACCGGCUCUUUCCAGCGUCUCCAGUUUAUUAGAACAAGCAUCAAUUACAUUAGGCAAACAUUUUGAAACUAUAUACAUAGAAGCUGAUGGAUGUAAAAUCAUCUCUGACUUAGCAUUAGCCGCCUUCGAAACUCAGCUGUUAAUGGUAACUGAGGAAGAUGAAGCUUGGAUACCAAACUUUCAGCCACAAACGAAACAACAAUCAGCUUUAGAAAUUUCAGGUAUGUGCAUUUUCGAUGUGAUUAACCCAUCAAAACGUGACUCGCUUUAAUGGGAAAUUUUGGAUCGAACGAAGAUAAUUUGACUCGGUGUACUUGCAUUCGAAAAACGAAAACAAUUGGAUUGCUGAGGUACAUUGGUUCAAAAGCAGCGCAGUUUGCAAACAAAAAAAAACUUAUACUAAUAGGUCGAUUGUUCUGAAAAUAAAUGAUUCCGGUUUUAACAGUUGCUCGUAAUGGACAUCAAGCUCUUAGAAGCAUUCAAAGACCAAAAAGAUCUUCCUUCUAAUUUCAAUUUAAACAACAUAAACGAUGUUCAUUAUUCAAAUAAUGUUUGCGUAGUAAACGUGGCUUUUUCAGUACUUUUCCAAGAUUUUGAUUUUCAUUUGUAAAGUCGAUAACUGAACAGGAAAAAAAUAUAAAAAUAAAUUCACAUCUUUAGUAAUUGCCCUCAACAUCUUGAAGGUAAAUGUUUAGAAAUUUCUUUCCUUUUUGUGAAAUAUUCCAGAAGCUUCUGCGUAAAAUGGUUAAAAAUUGCUUUUCAAUGACAUGCUCCUAAAAAUGAGAUUACUUUGUAACUGAGAUAAUAUUGAGAAGCUUCUUUGUAGUCUUCGUGAUAUAAUUUGGCACAGUUUAAAUAUGAACUCCGAAGUCGUCUGCAACGGUAGAGUUUUUCCUUUGUCGAGACGACAAGAGAGUUUGCAUUGUCUUUGUUUUUCUGUGUGCCUCAUUUGAAUUUCUUCAAUGAAUGAGUCUAGAAAAAAGUGCUGGUGAAAGUACUGUAGAGAUCCUUUUAAACAUUAAUAGCUAAUAUAUAAGCUCCGUUCAUAUUACUUCAUGUUUACUUGUACGACUUCGGAGUAUUAAUACGAACACAUUCGUGCCAUAACUAUCAAAAUAACAUAUUAUUCGGUUAGAUUUUCAAAUAUUUAGACUUACGUCCAUCAACCAGCUUACGAGAGAAGCAGCUCAAAUUUGACUGCCUUCAACAACAGACACAUACUUACACACAUUUUCAGACAACGCCAGAGGCAACAAACAAAGUAUCCGUCAUCUUUGCGGAAAAGUUGAAUCCUUUUCUGACUGCCAGCGGGUAAAACCCCGUGGCACUGAUAAUAUCGAAAUACAUGUGAAAAUAAGUAAGUGCACAAGAAGAUUCGCCUGGAAUGCUGCCUCAAGAGAAGCGCGAUUCCAUGCUGGCGGAAGAAGGCCAACCUCAAGAACGAAGUGCGUGGCUGUGGCAAGCCCUAACGCCUGCUGGUAGAGCUCGGAAAGGGAGAGGAAAACACAAAAUAUAACAGAUAACAUGAGUUAUGUCAGAGAAACAUCAUGCGGAUUUCAUGGAAUAUACCUUGAUGUACAGUUACACAUUAGCCCCCGCUGUAAAGGGAAGAGGGGACGCGAGCGGGCGGAGUGAAGAAGAAUCAGUAAGAUGAUGGAAGAGAAAAAUUUACUAAAUGAACAAAAAAAAAAAGAACCAACAAAUGACGUCGUAAGAGAAAGAGUGCCGGAAAAUGUUGAUCGCACACGCUGAAGUCAAGCUGGUUUGGAUUUUUUUCCCGCCCAGCUUUCCCUACUGUAGCUUCGGGCCAGACGCGGAUAAAGCAUUUCAUUUUUUUUUUUCAUUCAACCAGUGCACAAUUUGGCACAAGCCGGUUCCUAACCAGUCAGCUUGAAACGUGCUGCCAUCGGUCGGAUUGGCGUGACGUAGAACCGGGAAGACCGCGAAGGUGCGUGGGUCGAAUUUCCAUCAAAUUUUGUUGAAGUUUGUUGCUUUGAAUAAAUUUGGUUUUCCAUGAAUUAAUUAUUGAAACGGAAUGAGCGCGUAAUUUUUCGCUACAGAAUGCUAAUUGAGAGUCUCUGAUGCAUGGAACCGAAAUUGGUUAUGGAUAUUUGGGCAAGUAAUCUACCUGUAAUUAACACAAUUUUUCUGGCAGGAAUAAUUUAGUCGAAUGAUAUGGUUUUGACAUUAAACCCUGGAAUUAUUUUCUGUUUGAUUACAUUUAA